rnacentral:rRNA from 1 species
UACGUAGGGGGCUAGCGUUGUCCGGAAUCAUUGGGCGUAAAGCGCGUGUAGGCGGCCCGAUAAGUCCGCUGUGAAAGUCGGGGGCUCAACCCUCGGAUGCCGGUGGAUACUGUCGGGCUCGAGUACGGAAGAGGCGAGUGGAAUUCCUGGUGUAGCGGUGAAAUGCGCAGAUAUCAGGAGGAACACCAAUUGCGAAGGCAGCUCGCUGGGACGUUACUGACGCUGAGACGCGAAAGCGUGGGGAGCAAACAGG